rnacentral:rRNA from 1 species
ACUAUUGAGAGUUUGAUCCUGGCUCAGGAUGAACGCUGGCGGCAUGCCUAAUACAUGCAAGUCAA